rnacentral:misc_RNA from 1 species
AAGUCGUAACAAGGUUUCCGUAGGUGAACCUGCGGAAGGAUCAUUAUAGUAUUCUAUUGCCAGCGCUUAAUUGCGCGGCGAUAAACCUUACACACAUUGUCUAGCUUUUAUUAACUUUGCUUUGGGUAGAAAGCAAUUUCUACCCAGAGGUAUUAAACACAUUUUUUUAAUGUUCAAACCUUUAACCUUUAGUCAUGAAAUUUUUAACAAAAUAAAAAUCUUCAAAACUUUCAACAACGGAUCUCUUGGUUCUC